ACUCCUACGGGAGGCAGCAGUGGGGAAUAUUGCACAAUGGGGGAAACCCUGAUGCAGCCAUGCCGCGUGUGUGAAGAAGGCCUUCGGGUUGUAAAGCACUUCCAGUAGGGAGGAAGGUAGUGUAGUUAACACCUGCAUUAUUUGACGUUACCUACAGAAGAAGCACCGGCUAACUCCGUGCCAGCAGCCGCGGUAAUACGGAGGGUGCGAGCGUUAAUCGGAAUUACUGGGCGUAAAGCGCAUGCAGGCGGCCUGUUAAGUCAGAUGUGAAAGCCCGGGGCUUAACCUCGGAAUUGCAUUUGAAACUGGCAGGCUAGAGUCUUGUAGAGGGGUUAGAAUUUCAGGUGUAGCGGUGAAAUGCGUAGAGAUCUGAAGGAAUACCAGUGGCGAAGGCGGCCCCUGGACAAAGACUGACGCUCAGAUGCGAAAGCGUGGGAGCAAACAGGAUUAGAUACCCCUGGUAGACUGUCA
rnacentral:rRNA from 1 species